AAGUCGGAAUCGCUAGUAAUCGUGGAUCAGAAUGCCACGGUGAAUACGUUCCCGGGCCUUGUACACACCGCCCGUCACACCAUGGGAGUGGGCUGCAAAAGAAGUAGGUAGUUUAACCUUCGGGGGGGACGCUUACCACUUUGUGGUUCAUGACUGGGGUGAAGUCGUAACAAGGUAGCGCUAGGGGAACCUGGCGCUGGAUCACCUCCUUAAACGAUGAU
rnacentral:rRNA from 1 species